AGGAGAUGGCGGCCUCGGGUUGGUGGCGGGCCGCGUUCACCCCCUCUGGUCUCCUAGUGGCCCUUGCACGGCGACCCCGGAACCCGGGUCCCACCUGAUGCGAGGAGACCUGGCCCUAACGACCUGGCAAGGCAGCUCAUCUCUGUAAUGAGGUCAAGAGGGACUGAGGGGACAGACUUUCCACUUUGCUUUUUCUCUUUUGCUGUUUAAGAAGUGAAUGCCGUGAGUGGAGAAAUAAAAUGAGGACCGAACCCUGCCCUCCCCAGUGAGUGCAUCUGGGUCGACGCUGGCCUGAAGUAGUGGCCUGGAGCGGUUCUUGAGAGAGUCCUGCUGCAGACAGGAGAGGCCAGCUGCCAUCCAGCUGGAAGAAGAUUCGCUGGGUAGACUCGGCUGAUCUGCAUUUCUUCACCAGAUUUAAGGACUAGCCUGAUCCUACGCUUUCUCAUGGAAAUGGCAGAAGUUCAGAAGAGUAAAAGCUGUACUACACAAAUGUUCUUCAAACCUUUGAAGAUCAUACCACCUCUGCUUCCAGAGCACUGGCUAAAACAAAUCACACGGUGGAAAUGGAAACCAACCAGUUGGGCAGACUAUAAUGAGUGCAUCAACCAGCAAGAAGGACUCUAUCUAGGUGACCACUCCUGUGAGUGUGUACCUGGCUCCAGUACAGCCUCAGAGAAGAAUGCAGCUGUGCACACUGACUGGCACUGACCCCUGCAUCGCCUCCAAGCCUCCCAACAACCACUGCAUUUUAUUUUAUUUUUCUCUUAAAUGUGCAUGUGUAUGUGUGUGUGUGUGUGAUGCACACGCAUGUGUUCACACAAAUAGAGGUCAGAAGAGGGCAUCGGAGCCUCUGGAACUGGAGUUGUAGGCAUUUGUGAUCCACUCAACAUAGGUGCUAGGACUAGAACCCUGGUCCUUCACAAGAGCAUCAAACUUUCUUAACUGUUGAGCCAUCUCCCUAGACUGCUCACUGUGUUCUCAAGUCACUCAUUUUUUUUUUCCUCAGCAAGGAAUGUUUCAGAUAUUUCUCAUGCCUCCAACUUCAUUGCUUACCUGUCCUUAAUCUUCAUAGGUGACUUUCUUACCUCAUACCUCUCUUCCCCUGCUUACCUACCCCCAAAGGACUACAUGCCCAAAUACUGUGCCAUCUGAGAGAAUCAAGCAGAUGCCAUAACAGGCUGCUCAAUCUUCUCUCAGAGAUCAGGCCUCAAUUUCAACUUCCUGGGACUGAACAAGCAGUUUCUGAGGGAGCCAUAAACAAAAGACAAUCCAUCUUCAAGGCCCCCCGACAGCAGGGACAAAGGAAAUAAACAUACCAGGCCUGAGCCAGCCCCCACAGUCAGCAUGUAACUAGGCUAGCAAGCCUCCACAGCAGCUCAAGGACAGGGCUUGGGACUUGUCCAGGCCUUCCCCAAAAUGGAAAAUGGUAGCCGUGACCAGCCCCUGACUAGCCCUGGCUGAUUAGAAUGUGCUAAUAUUGCCACUUGCUUAAGCCAAUCAUAUCUAAAUUGACCUAACUACCCUAGGAGCUCCCCUUGGCUAUGCUUAAAAGGAGCCUGAGAGCUCCUGUCAGGGUCGUCACCAUUUUGCCCUUGUGUAGAAUGUUGGCUCCAGAACGCUCUUGCUGAUUGCAUACAUGGAUGGUGAUUCUUUUGUGGGAUUUCCCCAGGACCCUAUCACCACCAAAAGUGCUUCUCCUCCCUUGCAGAGAUCAUCCGUGAGAUGGUGUACAAGGUUGGGUCUUACACCUUCCCAGUUGUCCACCCUUCCAGCUAGCACAUCUUUGAGAGAGUUUUACUUUCCCAUAGUUCAUUUCUGUGAACUGAAAUGUAUGGCUAGCCACUGGGGUACAAUGCUCUUCAUGGUACUGGGGAUGCAUAGUUAGAUUGGAGAUAUGUGCUGGCUGGUUUUGUGUGUCAACUUGACACAAGCUAGAGUCAUCAGAGAGGAAAGAGCCUCAGCUGAGGAAAUGCCUCCACGAUAUCCAGCUGUAGGCAUUUUCUCAAUUAGUGAUCAACGGGGGAGGGCCCAGCCCAUGGUGGGUGGUGCCAUCCCUGUGCUGGUGCUCCUGGGUUCUAUAAGAAACCAGGCUGAGCAAGCCAGGGCAAACAAGCCAGUAAGCAGCACCUCUCCAUGGUCUCUGCAUUUCCUUCUGCCUCCAGGAUCCUGCCCUGUUCCUGUCCUGUCCUUCAGUGAUCAACAGCAAUGCUGAAUGAAGUGUAAGCCAAAUAAAUAAACCCUUUUCUCCCCAACUUGCUUUCUGGUCAUGGUGUUUUGUUGCAGCAAUAGAAACCC